GACGAACGCUGGCGGCGUGCUUAACACAUGCAAGUCGAACGGAAAGGCCCUGCUUUUGUGGGGUGCUCGAGUGGCGAACGGGUGAGUAACACGUGAGUAACCUGCCCUUGACUUUGGGAUAACUUCAGGAAACUGGGGCUAAUACCGGAUAGGAGCUCCUGCUGCAUGGUGGGGGUUGGAAAGUUUCGGCGGUUGGGGAUGGACUCGCGGCUUAUCAGCUUGUUGGUGGGGUAGUGGCUUACCAAGGCUUUGACGGGUAGCCGGCCUGAGAGGGUGACCGGCGACAUUGGGACUGAGAUAGGGCCCAGACUCCUACGGGAGGCAGCAGUGGGGAAUAUUGCACAAUGGGCGGAAGCCUGAUGCAGAAACGCUGCGUGCGGGAUGCCGGCCUUCGGGUUGUAAACCGCUUUCGACUGUGACGAAGCGUGAGUGACGGUAAUGGGUAAAGAAGCACCGGCUAACUACGUG
rnacentral:rRNA from 1 species